AACGCACAUUGCGCCCGCUAGUAUUCUGGCGGGCAUGCCUGUUCGAGCGUCAUUUCAACCAUCAAGCCCCAGGCUUGCGUUGGAGCCCUGCGGCCGUCCGCAGCCUCCUAAAAGCAGUGGCGGGCUCGCUAUCACACCGAGUGCAGUAGUUUACUCUUCGCUCAGGACGUGCAGCGGGUUCUAGCCGUGAAACCCCCUAAUUUUCAAAGGUUGACCUCGGAUCAGGUAGGAAUACCCGCUGAACUUAA
rnacentral:misc_RNA from 1 species